rnacentral:rRNA from 1 species
CGGGAUAGCAAGUCAGUCGUGAAAUACCGGAGCUCAACUCCGGGGCUGCGAUUGAAACUGUUAUUCUUGAGUAUCGGAGAGGAAAGCGGAAUUCCUAGUGUAGCGGUGAAAUGCGUAGAUAUUAGGAGGAACACCAGUGGCGAAGGCGGCUUUCUGGACGACAACUGACGCUGAGGCGCGAAAGUGUGGGGAGCAAACAGGAUUAGAUACCCUGGUAGUCCACACCGUAAACGAUGGAUACUAGGUGUAGGAGGUAUCGACCCCUUCUGUGCCGCAGUUAACACAAUAAGUAUCCCACCUGGGGAGUACGGUCGCAAGACUGGAACUCAAAGGAAUUGACGGGGGCCCGCACAAGCAGUGGAGUAUGUGGUUUAAUUCGAAGCAACGCGAAGAACCUUACCUGGUCUUGACAUCCCGACGACCGCUCUAGAGAUAGAGCUUCUCUUCGGAGCGUCGGUGACAGGUGGUGCAUGGUUGUCGUCAGCUCGUGUCGUGAGAUGUUGGGUUAAGUCCCGCAACGAGCGCAACCCCUAUUGUUAGUUGCCAUCAUUCAGUUGGGCACUCUAGCGAGACUGCCGGUGACAAAUCGGAGGAAGGUGGGGACGACGUCAAAUCAUCAUGCCCCUUAUGACCAGGGCUACACACGUACUACAAUGGCCGGUAACAAAGUGCAGCAAUACCGUGAGGUGGAGCGAAUCACAAAACCCGGUCCCAGUUCAGAUUGCAGGCUGCAACUCGCCUGCAUGAAGGUGGAAUUGCUAGUAAUCGCGAAUCAGAAUGUCGCGG